rnacentral:ncRNA from 2 species
CUUCUAUCCAGAGAGGCAUCGAGGGAACUGGCCCGCUGAGAUGCCCCCCAACCCGCCCGUGAGGGCAACGGUGGGAACUCCAGCCCCGCAUGGGGGAAGAUAGCUU